ensembl:lncRNA
UGAUGACCCACAAGCGUGCACACAGUGAUGAAGCCAGUAAGAUCAUGGGUGUUCCUCGUCCCAGCCCUGCUGUGGAAAACCUAAAAGGCCAAAGUAUAGCGCUCUCCAAAUCAACCCUAUGCAUCAACGGUAGCCAUAUCUACUCAUCCGAGCCUGUCAGCCCUAAGAGUCCAAGUACCAUCCCGGCCAAGCGCUCCCUGCUGGAGAAAUGUGCGCCCCUUUCUCGGUCUCUGCUGAACCUGUCUCGACGCAGCGAGGACACGCAGUAGAGCGAUGGGAGACGCUGGUCCAUUGAAAAGAGCAAGAAGGAGGACAGAGAAGCAGAUCAAAGCCAGACCCAAGGGGCCCCAACCUCAGAGGGACAGCCAGUGCAGGCCGCUGGACUUGUGGAAGUGGUGAAUAAAGGAAAAAAGCUGAGGAAAACUCUGUUUUAUAGCGGAAGGAGUGACUCUCUCCCAACCAAGCCGGAGCAGAGCCAGGUUUCUGCUCCUCUCGAGGGCAGACACAGAGGGUGGUUUGGCUCCAGUGACUCCCAGAACAAGCCAAGGCUGGGAGUCUCUCCUAAGGUAGAGAGCUGCUCAGACACCCCCUGUCAGAUCCCUUGCUCCCCCAGUCAACCCCCAUGCUCUCUUCCCCUCGGUUGCACUACUGGCUCGGUGUCUCCCCCUAGUGGCAAUCACACCAACCCAUUCACCCACUCUUCCCCAACACCCCCUUCCAUCUCUCCCUCCAACCCUUUCCUCACACGACUACAGCAAAACCCUUUUUUUGAGGAUCUUAUAGCCGAGGAAGGACUGAAGUCUCCAACUGCUGGUUACUGUUCUCUUAAUUCCAGUCUUUAUAAUUAUCCAGUCGGAUGCAGCCCCCUCCAUAAUGGAGCACAGAACAAAAUGUCCGCAAUAAAACGGGAAAGACCCAGAAGUAUGUCCAGGCAGAGGUCUCUUCCGGCCAUUAUGCCUGAGACACCAGAUACAAAAUCAAACAGUAAUCCGAACCACUCUCUGCUUGAGAGGGCUGGGGAAUGGGAUGAUUUUGAAGCAUUUGCCACCAGCCGGCUCAAAUCGCCAAGUGGGACUCCAACUAGACCUCCAUCAGCACCGUUUCUCUCACAUAUACCAAAUACAAACCAGAUGCUGUGUGUAAACAACAAAGCGAGCAUUGGUUUAAGGGUUGAUGAAGUUGACAUGGGUGUUUUAAGGCCAUGGGAUCUGCCUCCUCUACCACCACGUAGACCCAUGAGGACCCAAGGGAUCACCACAGACAGCUGGUUGGACAGAGCCCAGGAGCUGGCUGUGCAGAAAGAGGCCUGCUUCCUUUCCCAGACUGACUUCGCCUCCCUUCAGCAUGUGAGAGAUGGAGACGUGAAGAGGAACUCUCAGAUUUUUUGUUCAGAUAAAGAGUUUCACCAUAUUUCUUCAGUAGGGUGUAACAAGAUGGAUGCAGAGUUGCACAGCGGUAUCAGAUUGAACAAAUUCAUGGUUGGGGAAGCAAGGGGUCAUGACUUUGCUACGGACAACAAUGCUAAUAGCUCUCCGAAUGGUUUUGGUGAAGAUGCACAUGGAAGCUCUGAAUGUGAGUACAUGGCACCUGAAACUCUGUGUUUCCCAUCUGACUGGGAAACCACAGUGACCGAAUCACUUUGCAGUUCACCUCAGGCCCAACCAAAACACGAUUCAGAAUCUUCCUGUGAAAUAAGGGUCUCCAAUGAACAACAAUGCAAGACUAAAACCAGUGGAGUGGGUUUGUUGACCCUCUCACCUAGAGAUUCAAACAACAAUACAGAUGCUUCAGAGUUUGCUUUUAUUGAUUCCGGAAGUUCACUGUCUGAAUUGCAACCACCUUUUGAAAUUAAUAAAGAUGGUGUUAAAUCAUCCGAAGAUGGUUCAAAUUUGCAUUUGGUGCUUCCCAGGUGCUCCCCCGGCUUACCUGAGGAUAUAUUGUGCAGAAUGGCAUCAGAGUUAAAGAUGUUUUCACCAAUAAACACCCGUAACAAUAUCACGUCACAUUUGUCUGACUCACAAAUCCAUACCCAUUGUUCGUCACCUUCUGAGAGAUCUUGUGAAGAACUGGGAGGACACCAGAACACUGCUUCAAAGGUUAACUGUGAGUCUCACAACGUGGCUGACAUUCUCCUCAACAAAGAGAUCAAUGUGAUCACUCAAACAUGCUCAAGCAAAGACAACACUGUGACAAUGCUAAUCACACAAGAGUUAGCAGAAGGCAAUGACUUGCUCGCUACGCAUGAUGAUAAGGAGCAUAAUCAUUUAACAGAUGGUAACCUGAACUCUGAAGUCUGCUUCUUAAAGGACAACAAGGUCGAGGAAUCUUGUUCAACACUGGAAGAACAAAUAAGCUUUGAGGAGUUGCAUGCUAGAGUAGCUCCAAGAAACUCCAGAAGCCCCUAUGAAACGGAAGUCAGAUCAGCCCGCAUCAGACCACGCUCAACCACAGCCUCACCCAAAACUGUCUCGGUUCCCGAUACACUGCCAGACUCUCCUCAUCCUACAUCAGAUCUCAUUUUGCAUGGUCCUUGCCCUUCACCCACCCCAUUAGCUGGUACUAUUUCCUGUCUCUGCCCUGAGCCUUCCCUUCCUGCGAACCCCUCAAAUGAGUUGCCCAGCAUGGGUUCCACAUGCUCCUCCUUCACAGCCCAGCCCCACGCUGAUGCACCUCUCUCCCUCUCACCUGAGGAGACUCAGCCAGCUAACGUCCUCCUGCCCCAUGAGGAAAGCAGCCCUCACCCGGUGAAGCCCUUGACCAGCACAACUCUGCAGGGAGAGAAGAAACCUGAAAGCCGCUCAGUGCUGGAGAAACUCAAGUCCACCAUCAACCCAGGACGAUCUGCACCAGCAACCACUGCUGGGGAUGAGAAAAACCAGGUACUGGAAGUUUAA